ACUUUGCACUGUACCUUGUCUGUACCUUAGGCCAAACCUAUAACAAAUUGCUCUGAGCCUUAUGGGAAAGGCCUUAUUCAUAGGACCUCAUAUUGAAGCUGUCUGCUGGAAAGGACUAGAUUGACAGGGCUGAGAGAAGAAUUGUCACCAUCCUCUGCCAGUAGAGAUGACUAUUUCAAAGUCAUGAAAAGAGAACAGAAGACCUGUCAAAGAAAGUUUGGCUUCUGGUCCAAGAAGACAUUUUUAUUCUUUUUAAACUGACAAGCUGAUCAGCUGUGAGUUUGUAAGGAGCUCCUUAUAAAUGUCUGAAAGCUUCCAAAAAUGUUUUCCCACCCUAGUACUUUUUUAUGCCAGUAAGAUCAGCUGAGACAGAUAAAAUAAGUGACAGAAAUUUAUACUACCCAGAAAGUGUUUAGCUACUGAGAAGUGAUGAUGCAGUGAAUGGUAGCUUAGUUUAUUAUAUUUUUUCCCUAUAGCUUUGCAUUAGAGGGGUUAGCUCUCUUGAUC
rnacentral:lncRNA from 1 species